AUUCGUGCUGCUCAGUGCAGCUUCCUCCGUGUUCCAUGAUUUUUGCGUCCAAAUUGCCGAUUCUGCUCAGGCCAUUGUAGCCUCCAUCGACUACCGUCUCGCACCGGAGCACCGACUUCCAGCAGCCUACGACGAUGGUGCUGAAGCGCUGCGGUGGAUUGGAAACUGCAAAGAUGAGUGGUUGCGUCAGUACGCUGAUUAUUCUAAGUGUUAUCUUAUGGGAAAUAGUGCUGGGGCAACUAUCGCUUACCAGACAGGUCAGUCUCCUUCCACUUCAUCUCUGUUUUAAAUUCUUUUAUAUUUAUAAAUAAUUCAAACUUUAAUUAGUUUUUUAUUUUAUUUUUCAUACCAAGUUAAUAAAAUAAAGAUGAUGUAAAACAAUAUUAAUUAAUGAAAUUGAAUAAUUUUUAUUUUUAAUAAAGUAAGUUUGCUAAUAAAAAUUUAUUUAAAAGUUUUUAAUUUAUUAGAUUAAAAAUAGAAGGAAAAACUUUAUUAUUUUUAAAAUUAGAAUUCUUCUAGGCAAUUUUUUAUUAUUGUAAAAUUAUAUGAAAAAAUUUAAUUUAUUUUUAAAAUUAGAAAUAAAAUUAUUUAUUUUUCAUAAUUAAAAUAAAAAAUUUCAUUUUUUUAAAAAUCAAAUUUAACUUUACAUUAAAAAAAGUAAAUAAAAAUCUCAUAAUUAUAUUUUAAUAAUAUAAUUAGAGUUAAUUUAAAAAUAAAAAAAAUAUUUAAUAAAAAUGUAAGUUUUAAUAAAAAUUAAAUUUGAUAUCCAGUGAAAAGAAAAAUGAAAUUAAAUUGAACAAAAUUAAAACUACAUUGAAUGAAAUUAAAAAAUUAAGAUUUAAUUGAUUAGAGGACAUGCAUUACUCUAAUAUUAACAUCUACCAUUACUACUAACUUAAAAUAUAACACUCACCGAUUCUAUACAUCACAGUCACACUUAUUUAACAUUAAUUUGACAUGAAACAAUAUUUAUUUUAUAAGUGUUAAACUUUCUUUAGAUUUAAAAAUUAAAAAAUAAAUAAAAAUCAUAAACAUGUUAUAUAUUAUUCAUCUUCGAUUAACUAUUUAGAAAAAAUCAUAAAAAAAUCAAAUUAAUUAUAAAUUAUAAAAUUUAAAAUUACACUAAACACUAAAAAAAUAAAUCUCACAUUAUCAAACAUAAUGAAACAAAAGGACAAAAAUAAAAAAUAAAAUUAGUAUUAAACAAAAAUAAAAAACAAAAGUAGUAUUAAGUCUUUAAGAAAUGCUUUUAAUUUUUAAAUUAUGAUUGAUGUGGCAAAUAAUCUAAUUAAAAGAGCUAUUUUCUUAAAAAACAAAAGUCAAGGUUUCCAUUUUUCGUUAUUAAAUAAACACUUAUAAUUAGUGAUUAGAAUGAAACAGAAUUCAUUCCAAAGAAACUGUAUGGAGAAGAAGCUGUAAUCUAAUACUUUUUUUUUUAUUUUUUGAAGUUAGUUUUUCAAAUUAAACAUAACUAACAAACAAAAGGGUAUUCUAAACAACUUUUUAUAUACAUUUUACAUUUAUUAUUUUAUUCUUUGAUAUUUUUUUUUCCUUUAUCAAUAUAAAAAAGUUAAUUUUUUGUUAUGACCAAAAUAUUUCUGAAAGUCAAUGAUAAAAUGAUGUUAGAAAAACGUUUUUUUCUAAACAGAAACGUAUGAUAAAAGAAAAAGUUUUAUUAAUUGUUUACAAUAAAUAAUUUUAAAAGAAUAAUUAUUACAAUCAACUUAAAGCUAGUUGAAAAAAGUUGAGAGAGAAAGAAAUAUCCAUAAAUAAACAUCCAACUAUGAAUAUUAGUCUUUAAAGAUUUGUUUCAUGAAAGUGAAUUUCCUUUCCUUGCAGGUCUACGUGCAGUUGAAGAGGUGAACGAUCUUGAUCGAGUGAAGAUCCAAGGGUUGAUAUUGCGUCAACCAUUCUUCGGUGGAGUGCAGAGGACAGAAUCAGAGUUAAGGCUGGAGAAUAACCCACUCCUUCCUCUAAGUGUUACGGAUUCGAUGUGGGAGUUGGCACUACCAACUGGUGCUGAUCGUGACCAUGAAUAUUGCAGUGUAAGGGCUGGAAAUGGGGUUGAGAAAUUUGAGAAGAUGAGGGAACUUGGUUGGAGGGUGCUGGUGAGUGGCAACAAUGGUGACCCAUUGGUGGAUCGUGAUAAGGAGUUGGUGCAAUUGAUGGAAGGAAAAGGGGUGAAAGUGGUGAAGGAUUUUCAAGAAGAAGGUUGUCAUGGAGUUGAACUCUUUGACCCAUUGAAAGCAAACCAGUUCAUUGAUUUGGUUAAACAGUUCAUUAAUCCAAUCUGUGUUUAGGGCUAAAUUAUAAUCAUGUUCUUGUCUACAAAACAUAAUUUACCAUGUUACGUUCAUAGUUAUUUCAACCUUCUCUAAUAAAACAUGAGAAAAAUAUGUUUUUCUCCUUUAAGUAUUGAGUAAAAUUAAAAAUAGUUUAUGAUUGAAUUUUUUUUUUAUCUUGUUUUGUAUUUUUAAAAAUAUUGGUUUAAAUAUUAUUGUACUAGAUGGUCAUCCGGCUAUGUUACGAGAGAGGAACGUCCAACCCUGUGUGCUUUAACCUUUAAAUCUGAACCAGACACAAAUGAACAUCAUUCAGCCAUGUUCAAGUAGAGGUUGAACAUGUAGUUUUUAUAGCAAAGUACUUUUUAAGGAAUAAUGAUAUUUAGACAACAUUUUUUGACAAUAUUUAGACACAGGACACGUGUCUAAAUGUGAUUGGUCCACUUGAAAAUUGAUUUUAAAAUCGAUUGCUGACGUGCACGGACAAAAAGGAGGCAAAUUUUGAAUCUGAAAUGCAUUUCUGAAAUUUUGGCAUUCGACACAUUUGAGAGAGGAAGAAGUGAAACGCUCGAGAACCUAGUCACCACCGCCAAUGACGAUCUCGUUCCUACCGGCCACCACUAUCGCCAGAAUGCCGCCGCCGGAGACCCGUCGCCCGUCUGCUAUCUUCACUCCACCCAAAAUCGCGUUUCCAUUUGCUCAACGACAGAACCUUAAACCCAAAGCCAAGUGAGUCUUCACUUUUUUCCUCAACUAGAUGAUGAAUAAUUGUUUCUUUCUUUCUCUAUUUUUUUUUUCCAAUUUUAUUUUGUGGUUUUGGUUUUGUUUCAAUGCCUGUGAUUUGAGGCCAUGUUGCAUGCGUCCAUGGUGAUUACUAAUUCGGUUGUUUUGGUGGCUCUCAGUGCGAAUCAUUUUGGAAUUCAAUUUUAAUGUGGUUUAGGUGAACCCUCGUUGUUGUUUUGUUGCUGGAAAUUAUUUUUUUUGUCGGGUUCUUGAAGGUUGUAUUGAUGCCUUUGUGAAGUCAUUAAGCAUUAGUAGGGAUGGCAAAAACAUUCGUGUCUACAGAUAUCCGCGAAUAAAAUCCGCGAUGGAUAGUUGAUAUCCGCGGAUAUUUACUACCCGAAACCCGAGGAUAGCGGGUAUUUUAGUACCCGCUUAUAAACGGGGUCGAGUGUGAGUAUUAUACUAUCUGCAGAUAUCCGCUACCCGCAAAAAAUAAAAAUAAAAUUUUUAUUUUAUUUUAUUAAGUUAAAUCUAAUUAAAAGUAGCAUUAAUUUAUAUUUUACAAGGUUAAAUUUAAUUAAAAUUGUACUAUUUGAAGUAUACCGAUCAAAAUUAAUUGUCAUUUAUGGACAAUUAACAAGUAUUCAUAGGUCAGAUUGUGUGACACCUGGGCACUGACGAGGGCGGCUCCUAGCAGGUGCAAGAAGGAGCAGUUCCUGGCAGGCUUCGAGUGGAAGGGGCACAUGGACGAAUCGAACAUACAUCGGAAUGGGAGGGAUCUGGAGAUUGUAUAAGUAUGAGACUAUACAGUUGAAGGAUAGAUUAAAGGAAUUGAUUUGACUACUCAUAUCAACAAAUGCAUUUGCUUUUCAGUAGCCUAACUCAUAAGAACUCCAUGGUUAAGCGUGCUUAGCCUAGAGUAAUUAUGGGAUGGGUGACCUUCCGGGAAGUUUUCUCGGAAAGUGUGUGAGUGAGGACAAAGCACACUGGAAAGUCUCGUGUUGAUGUGUGGGGGCAGUCAGCAGUCCCUGUAAGAGGUCAUUUACAAAAUAAAAUAUACGGUAUUAAUUAUUGAUGAUUGGAUUUGAUUACCUAAAAAUAUACUGCACAAUGCACAAUCAAUGGACCAGAGUGGAUGACAUCCUCAGGAAGGAUUGAAGAUCAAAAGAGAACAAAGCAAAGAAGAACGACUGACCCUCAGACUAAUUCAACCGAAACAAAAAUUAAAUUUUAAUUAUAUUUUAUAAAUUUUUUUGUAAUUCUAUUUAAAUUUUGUUUUAAUAAUUUAUAAACAUAUAUUUUUUUUUAAAUAUUUGCGGGUAUCCACGGAUAUCCGCGGGUUUUAAAAUAUCCGCGGAUAUUUUUUAAGCGGGUAUCCAUGCGAGUAGUAGGUCGAGUAGCGGGUGAAUUUUUUUAAUCGGAUUGGAUUGCGGGUAGUCACUAUCCGUACUCGACCUGACCCAUUGUCAUCCCUAGACAUUAGUAUAGGACUUCCUUGGUUCAUUUUAUUUUAGGAUGGGUAUAUACAUGACAUGUUAUGUUGGGUAUCUAUAUAUGGCAAACCAACCAUUAAUAGCAUGCUGCUCCCGGCCCAUGUACAUCAAGAAACAAUGUCCAAGCAGCAGCUUCUUAGGGGUGCAGAUGGUAACGUCCAACAAAGAUGGUGAGCCCAGCAGCUUGGAGAAAGGCGUCCUGUUGCCAACUGAGAGAGAGGUGUGCUCAUGGUCCAGCUUUGAAGGAGGGAACUAUCUCGGUCCAGCAAGAAGCACACAACAGCUUGAGGCCAGCACGUGAAGUAUAAAAAAAGAAUUGACACCUUGGGCCAACAUCUCGCGAGGAAGAGAAGAUAGAGUUGCAGCAUUGCUUCAUGGUGCACAGGCGGUCCAGACUUCAUCACCCCAGCAGCACAUCAUCAUGGACAGUAGCACUUGAAGAGGUGCAUCCAGCAGCUUUGGUCCAGCACUGCAUAUGUUACGACCUAGGAAAUAAAAGAAACAGCCUGCACAUUCCAGUGUUGAAUUGAAGAAGCAUCCCAGGUCCAGUUCGCUGCAUCCGGACACAUGUUGGAUCAAAAGCAAGCUCAGCAGCUUGGGUGCACACAACGGGCUGAUUCACGUCCAGCCAACACGGUCCAACUUUGAUAAAAAGUUGCAGCAGCCAACACGGUCCAACUUUGAUAAAAAGUUGCAGCAGCCAGCCCAUGUGUGCGUUGAAAGCAAAGUGGUGCAUCCAGCAGUUUUUUUUAACACGUCCAGCAAGGCCUAAAAGCGUUGCUUCAUGGUGCACACGGACGAGCCUCGUCCAGCAGCUUAAGAGCUCCAUGCUGACAGCAAGAAAAUAGGGCACCUGGGGAUUGAUACCGAGAACGGUUGUCACUUGCAGAGAGUAGUUUUUUUUGGCUUUUGAAAAACGUUUUUUUUCUUUCCGGUGAGCUUAUGGGUUUUUCGGUGAUGGAUUAUGGAUGAAUAAAAAAAAACACUCUUUUCUCUUUGCUUUCAUCUUGUUCAACGUUGUUGCUGCUGGUUCAAGCUGGAAUGUUCUUUUUCUUUUGGAGUUUAUCAUUGAAUGUUAUGGUGCAGACCUAGCAGUAGCUUAUGCUGAUUUUUCCUUCAUGAAAGUUUGGUUGUAAGUUACGAAUGAAAGCUCGUUUGUUUAUUUAAUUUUACUGCAUUUAAUCUUUGCCCUUCUAUUUGAUGUCUUGCACUUUUUGGUUGAAGUUGCAAUCCAUCCAUGUCACGGUGAUGCAACGUUGCUGUCAAAGCUUAGUUUUAUUUUUUUUUUAGCAUGAUAAGUGUAUUAGGUGGCAGCUGGUUAUGUGUAGCAAUUUAUUGCUUACAUUUGAUUGGAGCAGUGCAGUAGGGGUUCAUUUUGCAUUUGGAAUUAACACAUCUUGAAGGGAGAGCUCGGUGGAUUUCUUUUGUUUUAUUUAUUAUGUGGUUUGCUUUAACAAAUUCAGGUGCAACAGUUUUAUUUUUCUAAUAAAUGUUUGAUUCAUCUUGGGAGAAGUAGCGUAGAGGCAAGGAGAGUUCCAUGGCUGCGACAAUGUUUAAUAAUUUAUUAGCUAAGCAUUGUUCUUUUAUUUCAAGUUUUAUUGCAACAAUAUGCAUUUCUUUUAUUUUAGCUGAAAUGUUGCAUUUUAAUAUUUUCUUUUAUUUUAAUGUUGUCUAGUAUUUUUGGUAGUGUUAAUUUAAUUGUCUGUUGCAUGCAUUUUUGUUUUAAUUUAAUUUUUCCGCAUUCACAAACCUUUCACAAACCCCCCCACUUCGUGUUGGACCUAAUUCUUGAACCGCAGUUGGUCCUUGAGAGACGACCUAAGAGUCACUUCCUAGUCUAUACUGCAUUUCUCAUAUGCAAUCAAAUUUGAUUGGGCGGCGACACCCAUCAGUGUGCUCUAGGAAAGGUAAAUAUGUUUCCUCGAUCAACCCCGAAGUUAAAACAAUUCCCAGUCAAACCAAACAAUGUCCAGCUGGAAUAACGAUUUCAAAGAAGGACGACAAAUGGUUUAUAAGAACUGUCAACUUAGACCACAGCCAUGACAUAUGUCCAACUACUUCAAAGUUAAUCCCUGGGAAUAGGAAAUUGAGCAUGCAAAGCAAACACACUUUGGAGGUGAAUGACGAAGCUGGAGUGCGGAUUAAUAAGAGUUACCUUAGUAUAAUGACCGAUGCAGGUGGAUAUGAUAACAUGGAAUUUACAGAGCGAGAUGUUAGGAACUACAUUGGUAAACACAGAAGGUCCUUAUGUAAGGACGGUGAUGGACAAGCAUUGUUGCGACACUUUUCGGCAAAGAAAGAUUUAAACAAAGAUUUCUAUUACGAGAUUGAGUUGGAUGAAGGCAAUAGAAUUUGUUCUGUUUUCUGGGCGGAUGCGAGAAGUAGAGCAGCUGAUGAAGAAUUUGGGGAUGUGCUGUGUUUCGACACAACUUAUUUAACCAAUAAGUAUGAUAUGCCUUUUGCGCCUUUUGUUGGAAUCAAUCAUCAUGGGCACUCAAUAUUACUUGGCUGUGGAUUGCUAUCGUCCGAAGACACAAACUCUUUUGUGUGGUUGUUCCAAUCGUGGUUGAGAUGCAUGGGUAAUAAGGCCCCAAUAGGGAUUAUAACUGAUCAAUGUAGGGCAAUGGCAAAUGCCAUUGAAGAAGUUUUUCCUAAUACCAGGCAUAGAUGGUGUUUAAAAGUUGCCAGAAAAGUUUAGCGCUUGUCAGGAAUAUAAUAGUAUCAAAUCACAUAAUAAGAAGCUUGUGUAUGACUCCAUUGGAUUUUGAAAGUGGUUGGGAAGCACUACUAAGCAGACAUGGAUUACAUCAGAAUGAAUGGUUAUGCACAAUGUAUGACGACAGACACAAAUGAGUAUUUUAGUUUUAUGUUUGUCCAUUUAAGACUUUGUUUUCUGUUGAAAUUGAGUCUAAUUAUAAUUGUCUUCAUUUAGGGGACUACAUUACCUAACCUAACACAAAGUGAGGAAGACAUACAAUUUGGAUCCCAAUCUUACCAAUGCUACGAUGUAUCCCAACAAUCCAACAUAGCUCAAUCUGGAUUUAUGUCAUUGUUAAAUGCUGCACACAACAACUAUGAUGACAUCAUUGUAUGAUGUAUAUUGUUGGUUGAAUGUGAAAUUAAGUAAUUUUUUUUUUGUGUUAUGGAAUACCUUAAUUUAUAUCUUAUCAUCACAAAAAGCACCACUAAUAGUAAUCGAUUACGUGGUGGGUGUAAACGAUUACAACAGCAGCGUAGGACUUAAUUGCCCACUAUGCAACGUAGUGUACCCACGUCUCCCUUAUAACUUCUACUGCACUGUCAAUUUAACUGUCCACUACUGUCACUUAACCAUUUGGGAUUUUAUCAACUUCCACAUCACUUCCUACAUAUACGAACCCUAUCAUAAUUAUUCUCCAAUUAAAAAUCCUAACACAAUUGCAAUGGGUGAUCGCGCUAAAAAGAAACAAAAGCCAUCUUCUUCCGAUGAGGGCGGACGUCGUCGACAACACAGUCCGACACCAUCCCCACCACCGUCAUCACCGCACCCAGUGCACGACCUAUUCUCCAGUAUGGAACAACAGGAGAAAUUUGCUAAGCAUUUUGUCAAUCGAGAAGUAUUAAAAAGCAAGUUCUUAGACGCGGAGUACUUCGAAGAAUCAAAUUUCGAAUUCUAUCAGAUAUUGUGUGAUGCUGGACUNAAGGAAUUUGUUUGCUUGAGAGAUUCUUUCUACCCANAAUUAGUAAGAGUGUUUUACAACAACAUGGUCAUUUCUCACACUGGAGUGAUUCGAACAGAGGUAAAGGGUGUGAAAAUAAAAAUUAGCCCUAANCUCUUUAAUGAGAUUACCUCUCUCCCAUCCAAUGGUGCUCGUUUUGAAGGACGUAUUGUGGAUGACUAGAAAGAAUACUAUAACUCCGUAAGUGGUAGGGAAUUUGUCCGUAGAGAUGAUGCUGAAAUACUUCUGAGGUUAACUGCAGGGCAAAUGAAGGUUCAACAUAGGAUUCUACAUUACGUUCUUACAAGGAUUUUAAUUCCUCGCUCAACCAACAUUGGACAGCCAACUGAAGAGGAUAUUAUGCUGAUCUGGGCUCUUUUCAAUGGUAAGGAAAUUAACUAGGGACAUCUUAUAAGGUACAAGAUGAAGAAGGCAUUAAAGGACAAAGCCAAACUACCUUAUCCUCAUUUGAUAACAAUGUUUUUGGAAUGCUUUGAAGUUCCUUUUGACAAUGAUCCUGUGACAGAAAUUAUGUGCAAGCAAAAGAUGGGAUAUGGUACUAUUCGGUCAUUUGGUUAUGUGCAGAACGAACACGGAGAGUGGGUAGUACAAAAACAAAAUACCCCCAAUGCUGAAGAUGAAGCCACAGAAGAUGAAGACAAUGAUGACGACAAUUCUUCUACAACACUAAGUGAUGUCAUGAAUCGUAUAGAUCAAAUGCAGACAUUCGUCGCCUCUAGAUUGGAUGGAAUACAAACUCGUUUUGAUCAAUUGGAGAGUACGAUGGGCACAAGAUAUGACAACUUCCAAACGCAAUUUGGAAACAUCGACACAGCCAUUGGGAGCAUGGAGGAGGAACUGCAGCACCUCCACAUGCGCUUUGAUAAUGCUCCUCAACCUUGAAAUGUGGUUCUUUCUCUUUGUUUAUUGAAAUGAUGAACUGUAAUAGUCUUUUUUAUUUUCAUUACUUAGUCUUAGUCUCUGUUGUGGUAAUCCUUUGUUAUUGUUAAUGAAAGUUGUGGUGAAGAAUGUAUCAACAAAACCAAUGUUUGUUUUUCUUAAUGCAAUAUUCCCAAACUGGUUCAUGUGUACAAUAGGGUCCUCUACGUUAUGAUUAGUGGUUCCUGCAGACGGAAUUUGUGUCCAAAAAUGAACUUUCAUUACCGUAAUUGUUUACAAUGACAGUGUAAACGAUUACAUUUAACAACUUUCGCACAAAGGUUAAAUGGUUCACUAUGUUUAAGUUCCAAUGACACUCGUACUGUCAUUAUUUAUAUUCUUUAUUAAUCCACUAAUUGUUUAAAUUGACCGAUACAAUUGAAUCCCUUCCAAUUCAUGGUUAUUCAAAUGGUUUUACCACUUUCAAAUUGGUUGNUAAGUCUGUUGACUGCAUUAAUGGUGCAUUAAACCCCAUUUAAAGGUCCAACAUUAUCAUAAAGCCAUUCAAACUGAUUUGUAAACUUUAACACAACAUUUAAUGCUCUAUUUUGACCAUAGCGGUUUUCUAGAAGUUAAGGAAGAACCUAUGUGGCUAUAAAUUUGAGAGGUUUCAUUGUACUUAACAAAGAGAAACCCUAAUACAUCACCACGUUAUUUUCUUGUUUGGGAAAGCAUGGCAUCAUCAUCAACUCAGCAAUCGUCUACAAUAUUGUGGGAAUUCGUCACCAUCCACCUGAAAGAUAUGGUAAAAAUCUUGUUGUUAUUAUAUAACGUUUUAAACUACUAUUACUUUCACACCUACAUUUGCAGGAUUUUGGCUAUGUGGAUAGGCACUUUGUUGCGGCCUUCGAGAAUGAAUUAGGAACAACGUGGACGCUGUUCGACAAUCAUGGUCGAACGCACUACGUUACUUACAACAUGAACACCUUACAACCAAGAAUUACAACUGGAUGGACUUCCAUGAGAGACGUAUACCAUGAAAGGCUUGAUGAUGCGCACAUCACGUUCCAAUAUUUGGGUGACAACCAUUUCAACAUUAUAAUUUAUUUUGGCCCUUGCAGCAACAAUAGUAGGGAAUAUUUCAUUCAUCAAUCUACCUAUGAUCCUGAGGCGUCUUUAUUCGCUGUGAAAUUGACUAAAUCACAAUGUCAAGGAAGUCAUUUGGUACGUAUCCAAUUUUUCUACUUAACCAAAAUUGUUUUGCAUGACUAUUAUCGAAUAACUUAUUACUGGAUCUUUUGCAGUAUUUGAGAACCAAUUUUGAGAAUGCAAUCAAGAACAACGACUUUACAGAGGUUGUGUUUCUUGGUCAUAAGGAGGGCAUCCGGUGCAAGGUUCUGGUUUCACAUACUAGGAAUUCAACGAAGUUUGGAAAAGGGUGGAGAGAUUUUUGCAGUGAAUAUGGCUUGAAGGAAGGAGACGUUCUUGUCUUUGAAGUUCAGAACCAUGUCCAUGACAUUGCUGUAGAAGUGCACAUUAAUGGAUGUAUCUGUAAUGUUAACACCCAUAUAUCGCUGUGAAGUAGACUACAGAACUUCUAUUUCUGUUCAACUUAUGUUAUAUUUAUAUUACAAUAAAACAUGGUUUAAGGUUACAUCGAAUUAAUGAAAUACAAUUAUGUAUUCCCUAUUACAUCUUAUGUACAUGAUGUCGUCAAACUACAUUAUUACCCUACUAAAAAUUACAUGAAGUNAACGAACUUAGUAAGAAAUUUCUAACAUGGUCCCCUGUGACCAAAAAAAUGGAUCCCUACGUUGAGGUUUUUGUCCAAAACAGCAAUUCAGUUCUGUGUAAUCGUUUACAGCUACGAUGUAAACGAUUACAGCAGCUGUUUCUGCAGAAUCAGUUUCCUUUGGUGUUGUGAGCACUCACCAAUGGUGGUCUCCUUCCAAACCCAACAAAGUUGAACCAAGAGGACAACAUCUCUCACACCACAAAUUGCCAAAAAAAUUAGUUGAACCACAGUAUCUCAUUUUGACACAACUUUAACAACUUUAAUUGAUGAAUUAAAGUAACGUAGUGCAUUCGACCAUGAUUGUCGAACAGCGUCCACGUUGUUCCUAAUUCAUUCUCGAAGGCCGCAACAAAGUGCCUAUCCACAUAGCCAAAAUCCUACAAAUGUAGGUGUGAAAGUAAGAGUAGUUUAAAACGUUAUAUAAUAACAACAAGAUUUUUACCAUAUCUUUCAGGUGGAUGGUGACGAAUUCCCACAAUAUUGUAGCCGAUUGCUGAGUUGAUGAUGAUGCCAUGUUUUCCCAAACAAGAAAAUAACGUGGUGAUGUAUUAGGGUUUCUCUUUGUUAAGUACAAUGAAACCUCUCAAAUUUAUAGCCACAUAGGUUCUUCCUUAACUUCUAGAAAACCGCUAUGGUCAAAAUAGAGCAUUAAAUGUUGUGUUAAAGUUUACAAAUCAGUUUGAAUGGCUUUAUGAUAAUGUUGGACCUUUAAAUGGGGUUUAAUGCACCAUUAAUGCAGUCAACAGACUUANCAACCAAUUUGAAAGUGGUAAAACCAUUUGAAUAACCAUGAAUUGGAAGGGAUUCAAUUGUAUCGGUCAAUUUAAACAAUUAGUGGAUUAAUAAAGAAUAUAAAUAAUGACAGUACGAGUGUCAUUGGAACUUAAACAUAGUGAACCAUUUAACCUUUGUGCGAAAGUUGUUAAAUGUAAUCGUUUACACUGUCAUUGUAAACAAUUACGGUAAUGAAAGUUCAUUUUUGGACACAAAUUCCGUCUGCAGGAACCACUAAUCAUAACGUAGGGGACCCUAUUGUACACAUGAACCAGUUUGGGAAUAUUGCAUUAAGAAAAACAAACAUUGGUUUUGUUGAUACAUUCUUCACCACAACUUUCAUUAACAAUAACAAAGGAUUACCACAACAGAGACUAAGACUAAGUAAUGAAAAUAAAAAAGACUAUUACAGUUUAUCAUUUCAAUAAACAAAGAGAAAGAACCACAUUUCAAGGUUGAGGAGCAUUAUCAAAGCGCAUGCGGAGGUGCUGCAGUUCCUCCUCCAUGCUCCCAAUGGCCGUGUCGAUGUUUCCAAAUUGCGUUUGGAAGUUGUCAUAUCUUGUGCCCAUCGUACUCUCCAAUUGAUCAAAACGAGUUUGUAUUCCAUCCAAUCUAGAGGCGACGAAUGUCUGCACUUGAUCUAUACGAUUCAUGACAUCACUUAGUGUUGUAGAAGAAUUGUCAUCAUCAUUGUCUUCAUCUUCUGUGGCUUCAUCUUCAGCAUUGGGGGUAUUUUGUUUUUGUACUACCCACUCUCUGUCUUCGUUCUGCACAUAACCAAAUGACCGAAUAGUAUCAUAUCCCAUCUUUUGCUUGCACAUAAUUUCUGUCACAGAAUCAUUGUCAAAAGGAACUUCAAAGCGUUCCAAAAACAUUGUUAUCAAAUGAGGAUAAAGUAGUUUGGCUUUGUCCUUUAAUGCCUUCUUCAUCUUGUACCUUAUAAGAUGUCCCCAGUUAAUUUCCUUACCAUUGAAAAGGGCCCAGAUCAGCAUAAUAUCCUCUUCAGUUGGUUGUCCAAUGUUGGUUGAGCGAGGAAUUAAAAUCCUUGUAAGAACGUAAUGUAAAAUCCUAUGUUGAACCUUCAUUUGCCCUGCAGUUAACCUCGGAAGUAUUUCAGCAUCAUCUCUACGGACAAAUUCCCUACCACUUACGGAAUUAUAGUCUUCUUUCCAGUCAUCCACAAUACAUCCUUCAAAACGAGCACCAUUGGAUGGGAGAGAGGUAAUCUCAUUAAAGAGUUUAGGGCUAAUUUUUAUUUUCACACCAUUUACCUCUGUUCGAAUCACUCCAGUGUGAGAAAUGACCAUGUUGUUGUAAAACACUCUUACUAAUUUUGGGUAGAAAGAAUCUCUCAAGCAAACAAAUUCCUUUAGUCCAGCAUCACACAAUAUCUGAUAGAAUUCGAAAUUUGAUUCUUCGAAGUACUCCGCGUCUAAGAACUUGCUUUUUAAUACUUCUCGAUUGACAAAAUGCUUAGCAAAUUUCUCCUGUUGUUCCACACUGGAGAAUAGGUCGUGCACUGGGUGCGGUGAUGACGGCGGUGGGGAUGGUGUCGGACUGCGUUGUCGACGACGUCCGCCUCAAUGGAAGAAGAUGACUUUUGUUUCUUUUUAGCGCGAUCACCCAUUGCAAUUGUGUUAGGAUUUUUAAUUGGAGAAUAAUUAUGAUAGGGUUCGUAUAUGUAGGAAGUGAUGUGGAAGUUGAUAAAAUCCCAAAUGGUUAAGUGGCAGUAGUGGGCAGUUAAAUUGACAGUGCAGUAGAAGUUAUAAGGGGGACGUGGGUACACUACGUUGCACAGUAGGCAAUUAAGUCCUACGCUGCUGUUGUAAUCGUUUACACCCACCACGUAAUCGAUUACUAUUAGUGGUGCUUUCUGUGAUGAUAAGAUAUAAAUUAAGGUAUUCCAUAACACAAAAAAAAAUUACUUAAUUUCACAUUCAACCAACAAUAUACAUCAUACAAUGAUGUCAUCAUAGUUGUUGUGUGCAGCAUUUAACAAUGACAUAAAUCCAGAUUGAGCUAUGUUGGAUUGUUGGGAUACAUCGUAGCAUUGGUAAGAUUGGGAUCCAAAUUGUAUGUCUUCCUCACUUUGUGUUAGGUUAGGUAAUGUAGUCCCCUAAAUGAAGACAAUUAUAAUUAGACUCAAUUUCAACAGAAAACAAAGUCUUAAAUGGACAAACAUAAAACUAAAAUACUCACACAUUGUUCAAUGGAUGUUCUUGAACUCUUUUUNGUUGACACACUUUUUCCUUUUUUGGUCCGUUUCUCAACGGCUGACUUUAACCUGUUGGUGCGAGGUCGGCCCCUCCGUUUCACUGCUAUAGGACUACGUACAAGUAAAUCACCACUUUCACAACUGCUUUGUUGUACGGAAGCAGGUACAACAUUUGUCAUAAAGUUUAUUUUUCUCUUUCCUCGUGACUUGUGAAUAUGAAGAAUUAUUAUACUUUGGCAGAAACUCAUUAUGUUAAAUACGUCAGCAGAAAGACUACCAACGUUAUUACAAUCCCAGACAAAGAAAGAAGAAAAGCAACGCUCCGAAUAGAAGAAAACGCUCGUUAUGGCAGAAACUCACUGCAUACCAAUAAUCGACAUUACAAGAAACUCACUGGAUUCAGAAACUGUUUACAAGAAACUUAUUCUUCGGGUAAGUUGGUUUUUUCUUCUUUAUCAUUGUUUCUUUCACUCACAUAAAUAUGAUGGUGAUUCUUGGAUUUUCAGCAUAUGGCUGCUGCAAGAAGUUUCAAUGUACGCCUCAGAAAAGAAGCUUUGAAGAAAAAAAGAGAAGCAAGGUAGCGCAUUCUUAAACCAAUCUUAUGAGUGAUGUUUUGAUCAUUAUGAGUGAUGUNUNAUGUUUGGUUAUUUCUUUCAGCNCAAAUUUGAAGUGCCCUCAUUCAGCUCCUGCAAAGUCAUCAAGGGCGUCAUCAUCACUCAAGAUGACCGACAAGAACGUCCAAGUUAAACCUCUUUCUAAGGUUGCAAGGUAGCGCAUUCUUAAACCAAUCUUAUGAGUGAUGUUUUGAUCAUUAUGAGUGAUGUUUGAUGUUUGGUUAUUUCUUUCAGCGCAAAUUUAAAGUGCCCUCAUUCAGCUCCUGCAAAGUCAUCAAGGGCGUCAUCAUCACUCAAGAUGACCGACAAGAACGUCCAAGUUAAACCUCUUUNNNNNNNNNNNNNNNNNNNNNNNNNNNNNNNNNNNNNNNNNNNNNNNNNNNNNNNNNNNNNNNNNNNNNNNNNNNNNNNNNNNNNNNNNNNNNNNNNNNNNNNNNNNNNNNNNNNNNNNNNNNNNNNNNNNNNNNNNNNNNNNNNNNNNNNNNNNNNNNNNNNNNNNNNNNNNNNNNNNNNNNNNNNNNNNNNNNNNNNNNNNNNNNNNNNNNNNNNNNNNNNNNNNNNNNNNNNNNNNNNNNNNNNNNNNNNNNNNNNNNNNNNNNNNNNNNNNUGCAAGGUAGCGCAUUCUUAAACCAAUCUUAUGAGUGAUGUUUUGAUCAUUAUGAGUGAUGUUUGAUGUUUGGUUAUUUCUUUCAGCGCAAAUUUGAAGUGCCCUCAUUCAGCUCUUGCAAAGUCAUCAAGGGCGUCAUCAUCACUCAAGAUGACCGACAAGAACGUCCAAGUUAAACCUCUUUCUAAGGUUGCAACAAUCCCCAAUGGUAAGGUGAGGCCAUCAACUCCGGUGGCCAAGGCCUUGACCACUCCAAGGAAUAAUCAAAAGAAGGUUUCCAAUGUAGAACCGUUUAGAAGUGUUCAGAGUGGCAAGAAAGUGUUGACUGUUGGUGUGCCUAAGAGUAGAGUGGUGUCUUCUAAGGCUCUUGUUUUUCCCUCGCCAAAGAAGGUCAUAAAGAUCAAGAAAUUUAUGGAAUUAAAAACUCCAAUGAGAGCACUGUGUUCAUUCCCAGUGAAGAAGAAUGAAGAAGGAGGAAGCAAGUCAUUGCAGUGACUGCCUCAAAAAAGCAAUUGAGGGGAAGAGAAGUCAAGAACCGUGUGUUUGAUUUCUUGAGUUCUAAUGACCGUAAGGAACCAGAAACUAAGUCAAUGUCAUGUUUGACCUUAAAACAGAACUCUUCAUCGACCACAACUGUAACUGAUGUAAGUAAGGGUUUAAGUUUAUUUACUUGUUAAAAAACAAUUUAUUUUAAUCAAGUGUGAUAGAUACGUGUUAUUUUUUAUGUUGCAGGAAAGAGGGAUUCUUAAAGAAGUAAACUUGGAUAGAAAAUCUCUUUCACCUUUAAAAGAAACCGCAGUUAAAGGUGGUGGAACAGCAACGAGGAAACAUCAGCACACUGAUUAUUAUAGCAGUUGUGAUGAGAAAUCACGCCCAAAAACACAGGAAAACCAAUCUGUAAGUUCAUGCACAGAAGAACAUGUUCACCUAUAAAUAUUUUAGCAUAAACAGUAUUUUUAGACAGUGACUAAAGACUUCCCAAAAUGUUACACAGGGUGGCAUUCAAAUUGACAACUCCCGNUGCAAGGUGCAACGUAAAGUAUCUGCUACAACACCUUUUAAAAAUGAUCCUCGUCCUAAACUUGAGAAACCCAAUGAUGUGAAUGAUAAAUUCAAAAGAAAAUCCGAAAUGACGCAACGUAAAGUUCUGAGGCCUCUAAGGUAAGUAAUAGUAAGAUUCUGAAACAUGUUGUGUUUGUAGUAAGCAACUUUGAUUCCAAUCUAAAUGUCUAUUGCAGUGCUUUACCAAGGAAGAAAGAAAAGGCUAUCAUUGCAACAAAACUUAGUGUUAUUAUCGAAAAGCCAUCAGAUAUUAUUGUGAAGCCAAAGGCAACAAAGCCACGGAAGGCAUUAAUUGUUCCUAUCGAACCAAAGUUCCACCGUCUACAUGUGUCAAAGGAUUGCAACAACAGUAAACGCACUUGAGAAAUUCAAUAUCAUAAUUGAAUUUUUAGUUAAUGAAAAAAAUGUAUUCUAGUAAUAUAUGUAACUUCCUAGUUUGUAGAUCUGUAAGUUAACGUGGAAAGAACUUUUUUUUGUUACCACAGCAUUAAAAUUUGUGGUAAUUGUAAGUUCAGACACGAUUCUUUUGUACUAUUUUUAUUUUUUGUAAACAUAAUUAACGUGGAGAGAACUUUUUUUUGUUACCACAGCAUUAAAAUGUGUGGUAAUUGUAAGUUCAAACACGAUUCCAUUGUACUAUUUUUAUUUUUUGUAGACGUAGUUAACAUGGAGAGAACUUUUUUUUGUUACCACAGCAUUAAAAUGUGGUAAUUGUAAGUUCAGACACGAUUCAUUUGUACUAUUUGCUUAAGUUUUGAUUUGUGAAUAACAUUAAUUCUUCCUCGGAUGUAUCUAACAACUUCAUCUACAAAAAAGUUGGUAUUUCAUAGUUUGUAUCUUCUAACCUGUCCUACAAUAUUUUAUGAUGUUUUUCCCUCUUCCUCGGAUGCGUCUUUUUCAAACAAAUAAGUAGCUCUGAUUAUAAAAAAAAAUGAGGAGCUUUCAAGAUUAUGGAUGCAAACUACACUUGGCCUACCAUGACCUUGGACCAUAUAUAAUCUUUUCUAAAUCCUUUUGUUUAAGCUUGUGGUGCAUUUUCUCUUCUGAAUUCCAAUUCUGUUUAUAUUCAAAAUUUAUCCUUUUGAUCAUCAACUCACUAGAACUUUUUCCAAGCUUUCUAAACAUCAGUUCUGUGGCAGAGAAGAGAAAAGGUAAAGGUUAUUAUUCAUAUUCCUUUUUCUUUUGAUUCGUGUUUCCUUCCCUUGAAUGAGCUUCUCCGUUAUUCUGCUAUGUAUUAUGUGAAUAUAGUUUCACUGAUUCAAAUUUCAAGUCUGCCAUGUGUUUGAGCUUAUUUGAUUUCUUUUCUACAAAGAUUUAUCUGAUUCAUGUCACCAUUAUAUGGGAUAUGGAUCCUUAGCCAUUAGGGAUUGAAUUAAUAGUUAAGGGGUGCUGCAUUUAUGGCUUCAACCAAACAAAAUCAAUGUUAACAGUGUAAUCAAUGUUAACCGUGUUUUGGAGAAGACUGAAGGCACUGAGAUUUGACACUUUGCAGUCAUUAUCCAAUAAAAUCUUCAUUCACUCACUUUGUUUUGUCUAUUUUUUGUGGGGAGGGAAAAGGACCUUCUCCUAUUGUAUUAAGUUAGCAGACAAGAACCAUUCAAAAGAGGAAAGAGUUUCAAAUUAGAAAAGAAAUAUGCAUAUUCACUGAUUUUGAAGAAUGUCUGGCAGGAACUUAGUUUCUAUGAAAAGAAUAAGUAAUCUGUGAACUAAGUGGAUGAAUGUGAUCAUCUCAUUGAAUGUAGAGGAUUGUCUUUGUCUCUGCAAUGAGAGCAAGAUAUAAGUGAUAGUAAGUUCCUAGUUCUUUGUUAACCAAUACCAUCUACUCAUUUUUCUAAUCUAAUUUCAAUAUGUAUGGUUCUGUGCUCACCAAUGAGAUUCUAUUAAUUGGUGGCAAAGGUUUAUGUAAAAUUUUAUUGAAUCUUAUCUGCUGUAACUUUUCAUUAAUUAGUGCAUAAGAAGUCUAACAUAUAUAUCUUUUUGAGGUCUAGUAUGGAAAACAACAUAAACAGUGAAAUCGUAGAACAAGGCUCCAGAAGUUUCAUCACUUAUCAAGUAUAUAUCAUCAAGUGAAAUCCCUAACUUUGAAUAGGGAUAAUUUCAGUUUCCCAGCCCAUCAUCCAAACUGUUUAGUGUUUUAUGUAUUCUGUCAGGGAUAAUUUAUUAUCCCUGUGUUUUCUGUUUUCACCGGAACCUAUUUAAAUAGGAUUCCAGCUUUUUCCAUUGUGAGAAUAGAAGAAGAGUAGUAGUAACAAUUCGAUCGAUAAUAAUAAAAGGCGUUUUGGAUUUCUCUUACCUUUUGGUGCGGUGCUUUAUCUUCUUGGACUCCGUCAUUCCUUUCUGAACAAAAGGUGCCUUGCCGGAGCAACGCCUGGAGAACAUGCGUCCCUCUUUCUCUCUCGCGUGUUGCAACAGGGAAGUGAAGCCGACACAAAAAAUUUAUUUUAUAAAGAAAAAGGCACAUGGCAUGCCAUUUGCCACUUAAUAUAAAAUUUAACACCAUUGAUUAAAUAAAAACUAAAAUCAACACUUUUAAAAAUACAGAAAUCCAAAUUGUAUAAAAUUUUAACCAAGAAUUAUUUUAAUUUUACUUAAUACUUCAUGAGAAAAAAAAACCUAUUUUUCACUAUAUAUAUUGAGAUCCCUUAAGCAUCUUAGUAAUUGCUCUGAUAGAUAAGUUUUGUCUUUUACAAUUAUGAUUGGAGUCUUCAAAGAGUAAUUUAGGAAUAAAAUGGUAUUUUCUUCUUCAUUAUUGUUAUUAAUACUAUUAUUAUAAUAUAUAAUAGAUGCUCUUUAUACUUUUUAUAACAUUUAUUCUUUCAUCGUAAAAGAAGAUUGUUCCUCGUUAGAGACAAUAACAAUGCAUCUGAUAUAAUACUUGAUACUCUUCUAUUGAUGAGAAAAUUAUUAAAAACUAUACACAUUAAAUGUUGGAUCGAUUAAAUAUUUUCGUUUCUUUUUAUAAAAUAAAUCAAGAGUAUAACUUUUGUUUAAAUAAAUGUUAGUGUUAUUAAUAUAUUUUAUUUGUUAAAGUUAUCUAUUUCAUGUUUUGGUGUCUGCCUUGGAGUUAGCAGCCAAGCAAUUCUUUGGAAAGCACUUGCCACAUCCCACUCAAUUUCUUCACAUAAGCCUCAAAGUCAACUUAGUCUUAUGGAUCAUAUCCAUUGUUCUUGUUACCAUAAUUUUCGCCACCUAUCUUCUCAAAAUAAUUCUCUACUUUGAAGCAUGGGUAGCCCUCUUGUUAUUAGCUCUUGGGGUUCCUCCAUCAGUGACCAAAAACUUGCACCAUGCCCUUUGGUACAUUCUAAUGAUACCAAUAUUUUUUCUUUAAAUUAAGAUCUAUGAUCUAUGGACAGUGGAUAUUAGGAUAUACAUUUUGGUGAGAUAAUGUUUGGAUGGAGACAUCUGGUAUUUCAGGUCUGUUUAUAUUUGAUUUGAGAUUUGUUAGCACCAUAAGUUGGUAUAAAUCUAAUAGAGAACUUGGUAUGAGUCAAUGUGAUGGUUUUAAGUUCAAAUAAGGAGGUUUUAGAUGGUUAGAGUUUCCUUAUAUGUACUGUUUUUCCCAUUUCCCUUUAAACCCUAAAUUCUAUAAAUAGAGUUCCCACACACAUACAGUUUGCGACAUUUUCAUAAAUAUAGAAUAAAAGUUUUCUCUUUCACUUACCUCUGUUGGGUGUACUCCUUUUUCACUUCUCUUUCGGUGCUACUUGCAUUUUCUUCAUCCAGCGUUGAUCUCCUUUCGAACGUCCUGGAGAAGCCACAUGGAGAGGUGGAGCUCUCUUUCUUUCUUCCCUCGAGCCACGCAUCUCUGACUUCACUGGAACUCUCUGGAAAGGAGAGAUAUUUCCUUUCGACUUGGGUCAAAAGGCUUGGGCCUCCCUGCUUCUCCAAGUUCGGCCCAUUUUAUUAGAAACAAUAUUUAUUUUAU
rnacentral:lncRNA from 1 species